rnacentral:rRNA from 1 species
AAGGACUGCCAUCGACAAGAGUGGAGGAAGGUGGGAUGACGUCAAGUCAUCAUGGCCCUUAUGUCCAGGGCGACACACGUGCUACAAUGGCCGGCACAACGGGAAGCGAGUUCGCGAGGACGAGCGGAUCCCUCAAAGCCGGUCGCAGUUCGGAUUGAAGUCUGCAACUCGACUUCAUGAAGCUGGAAUCGCUAGUAAUCGUGGAUCAGCCAAGCCGCGGUGAAUACGUUCCCGGGCCUU